GACGAACGCUGGCGGCGUGCUUAACACAUGCAAGUCGAACGCUGACCCCGCAACGGUGGGGGAUGAGUGGCGGCGGGGUGCGUAACGCGGGGGAAACCUGCCCCCGGCUCUGGGAUAACUCCAAGAAAGUGGGGCUAAUACCGGAUGUGACCGCUGGCCGCAUGGUCUGGUAGUGGAGAGGGUUUCCGGCUGGGGAUGGUCCAGCGGCCUAUCAGCUUGUUGGUGGGGUAGGGGGCUACGGAGGCGCCGGCGGGUAGCCGGCCUGUGAGGGGGACCGCCCACACUGGGACUGCGGGACGGCCCAGACGCCUACGGGAGGCAGCAGUGGGGAAUAUUGCGCAAUGGUCGGAAGCCUGACGCAGCGACGCCGCGUGGGGGAUGACGGCCUUCUGGUUGUAAACCUCUUUCGGCAGGGACGAAGCGCAAGUGACGGUACCUGCAGAAGAAGCACCGGCCAACUACGUG
rnacentral:rRNA from 1 species